rnacentral:lncRNA from 1 species
GGCCCUCAGAAUAGGUAUGGUCAAAUUUAUUUUAGGAAAGAUAGGCCAUGUAUAAAGUGGAACAGAAAUGCAGUUAAGCAAACUAAUUUGAGAGUGAGUUUAGCUGCAGCAUAUUUGACAUUGACCUUAUUAUUAGGAAAAACACGCUUGUUAGGGCUUUCUGAAAUCCUGCUGAGUUCACUCCAAGAACUGCCAGGGAAGAGAAGAAAACAAGCCUGACCUGCUGUGUCCAUCAGACUUGGCACUGCUAUGCCUACAGGGCCACCACCACUUCCUGAGGCCAAGAAGUUCUAGUAAAUAUACCUGACUAGAGCUGGUAUCUGGAACAAGAGUGAAAUCUCAUCUUGUGCCUGAGGUUCUCAAGCAAGAAGAAAUGAAGUAACUAGCUGCAGUAAUGUUUUGUUCUGGAGGACAGAAAUUCAGAAGUCUGCACUGGAGCUAGAUUAGCUGAGCAGUUAAAUAAUAUGUUUUCAGACAUUGUGGUUUUCUGCCAAAAUGUAUUUGGAUAGGGAUUUUCAGCCUUAAUGCAGCUGAAUUGUUUUUGAGAGGCAUCGCAAAAACAUGAAAACAUGAGUUUUGCGGUUUGAAGGCAUGUAGCAACUUCAUCCUGCAAUGCUACUGAAGGAAAACUGAGUCAUGGAAAGCAAAGGGACCUGAUUAAGAUCAUAAGGGUGAUCAAAACUGGGCCACGUGCUAAAUGCCUUUGGCACCACCCCUUCCCUCUAUUGAAAGAACCAGUCAGCCUUUCCUGGGGGACCUGGGAGCUUCCUUUGUUAUUGAACAAAACUAAAGACGCUGUCUUUGCACUGUCCGGUGCAGCUCUGUAUUUCACACACUGUGGUCAUAGCAACAUGGCUGCUAAGCCCCUCCAUCAGAAUCACAAUUGUAGCUGCCUUGGGCAUGGCAGCAACCACAGUGGCUUGAGUUAA